GGUAGCUAAGUGCGGAAGAGAUAAGUGCUGAAAGCAUCUAAGCACGAAACUUGCCAAGAGAUGAGUUCUCCCAGAUUUAAAAUCUGUAAGGGUUGUUUAAGACUAAGACGUAGAUAGGCAUGGUGUGUAAGCGGUGCGAGUCGUUGAGCUAACAUGUACUAAUUGCCCGAGAGGCUUAACUAUACAACGCUCAAGGGUUUUG
rnacentral:rRNA from 1 species